AGAUUGAACGCUGGCGGCAUGCCUUACACAUGCAAGUCGAACGGUAGAGUAGCAAUACUUGAGAGUGGCGAACGGGUGAGUAAUAUAUCGGAACGUGCCCAGUCGUGGGGGGAUAACGUAGAGAAAUUUACGCUAAUACCGCAUACGAUCUAAGGAUGAAAGCGGGGGACCGUAAGGCCUCGCGCGAUUGGAGCGGCUGAUAUCAGAUUAGGUUGUUGGUGAGGUAAAAGCUCACCAAGCCGACGAUCUGUAGCUGGUUUGAGAGAACGACCAGCCACACUGGGACUGAGACACGGCCCAGACUCCUACGGGAGGCAGCAGUGGGGAAUUUGGACAAUGGGCGAAAGCCUGAUCCAGCAAUGCCGCGUGCAGGAAGAAGGCCUUCGGGUUGUAAACUGUCUUUUGUACGGAGCGAAAGGUCUGCCCUAAUACGGCGACCCGAUGACGGUACCGUAAGAAGUAAGCACCGGACUAACGUACGUGCCAGCAGCCGCGGUAAUC
rnacentral:rRNA from 1 species